rnacentral:sRNA from 1 species
UAUUUAAAGCUCAAAAUGUAGAGGACUCACUCGUGAGAAGGGAGAGAGAGGCGUCGAUUGGCCAUCGCCACCCCUCUCCUCAGGGCGGGCGCGGCGAGUGGCAGCUCCUUGGGUCACGGCUUCCGCCGUCGCCAGUGGCCUAGCUCCCUGCGGCUGUCCUUGGUCGCGCUUGACACCGGGCUGAAGCAGUCAAGAUGACCUUACUCCAGCUUGUGCGUGAGCACUGGGUUCAUAUACUCGUCCCUAUGGGAUUCGCCUUUGGAUAUUAUCUAGACAGGAAGGAUGAUGAAAAGCUCACUGCCUUCCGGAAUAAGAGUAUGCUAUUUCAAAGGGAACUGAGGCCCAAUGAAGAAGUUACUUGGAAGUAAAAACGGAUUAAAUCACAGAAUGUUCACAUUUUAAAAGUUAUUGGAGAAAUAAAAAAAGUUUAUUAUUUAAUUAGAAGAA